GGGCCCGCACAAGCGGUGGAGCAUGUGGUUUAAUUCGAUGAUACGCGAGGAACCUUACCAGGGCUUAAAUGGGAGAUGACAGGGGCAGAGACGCCCUUUUCUUCGGACAUCUUUCAAGGUGCUGCAUGGUUGUCGUCAGCUCGUGCCGUGAGGUGUCAGGUUAAGUCCUAUAACGAGCGCAACCCCUACCGUUAGUUGCCAGCGAUUCAAGUCGGGGACUCUAACGGGACUGCCGGUGCAAACCGUGAGGAAGGUGGGGACGACGUCAAAUCAUCACGGCCCUUACGUCCUGGGCUACACACGUGCUACAAUGGUCGGUACAGAGGGAAGCUACCCCGUAAGGGGAUGCGGAUCUAUAAAACCUAGUCGUAGUCCGGAUUGGAGUCUGCAACUCGACUCCAUGAAGUCGGAAUUGCUAGUAAUCG
rnacentral:rRNA from 1 species